GGCGGCUCCGCCCGCACCGGAAGGGCAGCGGAGCCGCCCCGGCCGAGGGGAGGGGACACCGGGGCGGGCGGCUCUCGGCGGCGCUCCCCCCCACCGCGGUACCUGCGCUGGAAGUCGGUCCGGAAGGGCGCCAGUGCUCCUCUAGGUCCUGAGCUUGGCAGUCUUCCUGAUGCAGAUGAGAGAGGGGGCUUGCUUUAGGACAAGUCUUCAGCUGCUGAGGUCUUCCUGAGAAGAACAGUGAUGUUCCUGUUGCAGGAUUCUAAUUCCUCAGUCUUGGCUCUCUCCUCAGUAGCUCCUGUGUUGUCAUCUGAUUCAACACAUGCACAAGAAAAACAUACAGAGGGAGCUGAGUCAUUCUCUAAAUCGGGACCAUCAUCCCCUGAACACAAAAAAUCUUCCUCUGCAGCACUUAAGGGCAAUCAUGUGGCAUUGAUAUCAUUAAGGAAUUUAAAGUUACGAGGAAGAAAAUUGAGCCACAUGUCGAUGGAUGAGAUUGGCUUUAUGGUUUCUUCAUGAUCUCAUUGCAUGUUGGUGAAGGGACAGGACUGUGAAAUAUGAGAUGCAUGUGGCAUCAAAAUAGGUCCCUGGUAUUGCAAGGAGUUGCACAAGGAGCCAUUCCUUUUCUGCAAAAUGAAGCAUGAGCAUUCAUAACUGUAAAAACUAAAACCACUGCCAUUAUGUUUCCUGUUUUUCUAAUUUCCCUUUUAUAACAUGAAGUAUAGAUAUUCCUAUUAACAAUUAAAAAAAUUUAAAAAACAAUACAAGCUAUCACCUCUUGUCUCUGUUUUUCAUAAAUCUAGAAAUGUUUUGCAAAUUUAACUUAAAACAUUAGCCAAGUGUCUUGCCCUGGUUUUUCAUCUUUAGAAUAAACUGGAGUAUUUCA